ACGGAAGGCAGUAGUCGGGAAUUUUGCGCAAUGGAGGAAACUCUGACGCAGUGACGCCGCGUGCAGGAAGAAGGUUUUCGGAUUGUAAACUGCUUUAGACAAGGAAGAACAAGGACAGUACUUGUAGAAUAAGCUCCGGCUAACUACGUGCCAGCAGCCGCGGUAAUACGUAGGGAGCAAGCGUUAUCCGGAUUUAUUGGGUGUAAAGGGUGCGUAGACGGGAAAAUAAGUUAGUUGUGAAAUCCCUCGGCUUAACUGAGGAACUGCAACUAAAACUGUUUUUCUUGAGUGUUGGAGAGGAAAGUGGAAUUCCUAGUGUAGCGGUGAAAUGCGUAGAUAUUAGGAGGAACACCAGUGGCGAAGGCGACUUUCUGGACAAUAACUGACGUUGAGGCACGAAAGUGUGGGGAGCAAACAGGAUUAGAUACCCUGGUA
rnacentral:rRNA from 1 species